CAGGUUAGAGCUUGUUAUAAAGCAUUUUAUUUACAUUAAAAAGUUAGUUGUGAAAAUCAAUUUUACCUGA
rnacentral:tRNA from 1 species